UACGUAGGGUCCAAGCGUUGUCCGGAUUUAUUGGGCGUAAAGAGCUCGUAGGCGGCUCAGUAAGUCGGAUGUGAAAACUCGGGGCUCAACCCCGAGACGCCAUCCGAUACUGCUGUGGCUUGAGUCUGGUAGGGGAACACGGAAUUCCUGGUGUAGCGGUGAAAUGCGCAGAUAUCAGGAGGAACACCGGUGGCGAAGGCGGGUCUCUGGGCAACAACUGACGCUGAGGAGCGAAAGCGUGGGGAGCGAACAGG
rnacentral:rRNA from 1 species